GACGAACGCUGGCGGCGUGCUUAACACAUGCAAGUCGAACGGAAAGGCCCUGCUUUUGUGGGGUGCUCGAGUGGCGAACGGGUGAGUAACACGUGAGUAACCUGCCCUUGACUUUGGGAUAACUUCAGGAAACUGGGGCUAAUACCGGAUAGGAGCUCCUGCUGCAUGGUGGGGGGUGGAAAGUUUCGGCGGUUGGGGAUGGACUCGCGGCUUAUCAGCUUGUUGGUGGGGUAGUGGCUUACCAAGGCUUUGACGGGUAGCCGGCCUGAGAGGGUGACCGGCCACAUUGGGACUGAGAUACGGCCCAGACUCCUACGGGAGGCAGCAGUGGGGAAUAUUGCACAAUGGGCGGAAGCCUGAUGCAGCAACGCCGCGUGCGGGAUGACGGCCCUCGGGUUGUAAACCGCUUUCGCCUGUGACGAAGCGUGAGUGACGGUAAUGGGUAAAGAAGCACCGGCUAACUACGUG
rnacentral:rRNA from 1 species